rnacentral:antisense_RNA from 16 species
UAGAAAUACUCCUUUGUGAGUGUUUAAGAAUAAGCAUAGAGAAAGUUUUCUUAGCGGGAAAUUUCUCUAUGCUAUUAUUAUACC